rnacentral:tRNA from 1 species
CAAGGAAUAGUUUAAUUAGAAUUUCAGCUUUGGGUGUUGAUGGUGGAGUAUUGUAGGCUUCUUCCUUGA